rnacentral:rRNA from 1 species
CAAUAGCGUAUAUUAAAGUUGUUGCAGUUAGAACGCUCGUAGUCGGAUUUCGGGGCGGGCCGACCGGUCUGCCGAUGGGUAUGCACUGGUCGGCGCGUCCUUCCUUCCGGAGACCGUCCCUACUCUUAACUGAGCGGGGGCGGGAGACGGGACUUUUACUUUGAAAAAAUCAGAGUGUUUCAAGCAGGCAGCUCGCUCUUGCAUGGAUUAGCAUGGGAUAAUGAAAUAGGACUUUGGUGCUAUUUUGUUGGUUUUGAACACCGAAGUAAUGAUGAGAAGGGACAGUCAGGGGCACUCGUAUUCCGCCGAGAGAGGUGAAAUUCUCAGACCAGCGGAAGACGAACCACUGCGAAAGCAUUUGCCAGGGAUGUUUUCACUGA